rnacentral:rRNA from 1 species
GACGUAGGGCGCGAGCGUUGUCCGGAAUCAUUGGGCGUAAAGGGCGCGUAGGUGGCCCGGUCAGUUCGUGGUGAAAGCGCGGGGCUCAACCCUGCGUCGGCCAUGAAUACUGCCGCGGCUGGAGCACUGUAGAGGCAGGCGGAAUUCCGGGUGUAGCGGUGGAAUGCGUAGAGAUCCGGAAGAACACCGGUGGCGAAGGCGGCCUGCUGGGCUGUUGCUGACGCUGAGGCGCGACAGCGUGGGGAGCAAACAGG